CCGGCAAUUGCUAAACCUGUCACAACCCUAAUUAAUGAAUCCUUGGUGUUGGAUACAUACCCAAACUUUGGAAAACUGCGAGAGUAGUGCCUAUCCAUACAAGUAGUGACAGUACUUUGGUUUCUGUCGGCCAAUAUCAUUGCUCCCAGUAUCGUCAAUAAUCUUGCAUCCAUAGGCAACUAUGUGAGUAUUACCAACAAUCUAACUAUCUGACACCUGAUCAAUCAGGUUUUC